AUUUUCUUCUGCCUCUGCCACUCGAGACAGCAAGACCAGCUCCUCCUCUGCCUCCUCCUCCUUAGCCAACCCAACAUGAAGAUGGUGAGGAUGAAGCCCUUCAUGGUGAGCCACUCCACUUGAUGAACAGUGUUUUCAACAUGUGACCAUAGAAGUUUGAAAGAUGGUUCAGGAAGAAAAUGGUAUUGCCAAGGAAUGCCUGCUGGCUGCCUGAGACCCCUGAGCAGUGUACACACAGAUAUCUGUUGAGCCAAAUACCAGCAGGAGCCGGGAAUAUAACAGUAUAGGAAACAGAUAAAGUCGCUGCCCUCACACAGUUGCCACCAACUAGGAAGUCCUCUGCAGCCUUCCCUGCAGCUAGAGGUGGCCACAUGACCCAGUCUGGAGCCAAGGAACACCAGCAGAAGGGAUGUACAGCACUCCCGUGUCUCAGCCUUAAGACAGUGGAGGACAAUUCUCCACCCUCUUUCUACCUUCUGUGGACUGGAACACACAUGUGCUGUCACAUGCAGACAAGGACAGCACUGUGCCAACAGCCCAGCAACCAGACAGAAGGAAUUUAAGUCCUCAAGUGACGGUAUGGAGAAGUGCUCCUGCACUUAUCUGGACUGCUCAGCUCCAGAUUGCUUUAUGAGAAAGAGACUCUGACUAUAUCGUAGCCAUCAAGUUCUUUCUGGUGUCUCUGUUGAAGCAGCUUAGCCUCUAUCUCAAAUAAUAGAAAACUAAGGAUCUGGAAGUAGCAAAAACCAAAACAUAUGCCAUUGGCUUAGCAUACAGGCACUGGGUUACAAAGAAAUAGAUUCUAAGAUGUGGAAAGCCAACAACCCUGGUUAUGGCGUAAGAAGAUACUUGAUAAGACUUGUAGUGUACUAUGUGUUAUAGUGCUUAUAGCACAUGAGGAAGAGGAUAUAAAAGGCAGAACUUUGGUAUACAGUAGAUGACUCUUGCUGCUUUUAGCAAGAUGCUACCAGAAUGAGGUAGGCUCAGGUGUGAAUUAACUAGUCUACAAGCACAGAUGGAGGGGACAGGGCUUUGCCAAGGAAGGCUCUCUCUGCCUGUUACCUACAACUCAAAUUGACUAAGAGUCCAGAAAUAUGAGGCUGUGCAUCAUUGGAAAGAUAAUCUUCAGUCCCAAGAGCAGGAGGAAUGGGCACUGACAGACCUUCCCAAAGGCCACGUGUAAAGACAGACAUCAGGGGUCAAAGUCAAGGAAUCACCAAGUAAGGGUGCUUUUCUCCCAGAGCCUAUUAUCUCCGCCCUUUAAAUUGAGGGACAGGAAUGUGCCAAAUACAAAUGCCACGAAACAGAAGGGCGAGAAAUCUCUUCCUAACGCUCUCUAAGUGAGAUUACUUUCAUGUGGAGCUGGAUACCAGCAAGUAGACAAGAAACAUACUGCAGUCAACCAUUCCCAGGAACUGUAUCACCAAAUGAACUAUAAAUCCAGCUUACAGUUACCUGGGACUUGUGUGAUCCUUACGUGAACCCUCGGUCCCAGUGUGGAUCAGUAAGAACUGGGCUACACAAACUGUACAUCCCCCAUGGACUUCAGACAUGACAAACAAGGAUAACAAACAACUAUGAACCUUCUCAAAGAGCAAAGCAUGUAGGCCUGUGGACACAGACAGCUGCUUUCAGAAAAGUGACCAGAUGGGCUGACCUAAGCACUAACCACUGCCAGGAUGUGGCCUCACAGCCACUGUGACAGAAUCUGAUGACUUCUGUAUACCACUUUCUGCUUUUUCAAAUAGAAACUUUAAUCAUGAUUGUCCUGUGUUUAAUGUAUACAUGUGUGGUGUGAGGAGACUUGUUGAUUAGUUUAUUUGUUGCUGGACUAUAAGUAGCCAGCCUGAUAGGCACAUUCUGUACAUCACUCAGAAUUUCUGGGCUUUGAUAUAUGGUAACUGGAGUCACCUCACUUAGGGAACAGAUGUGCUGGAUGUUGAAAAAGUUACCCAUAGAUACACUGAGGGGCAAACUGUAGCAGACUCCCAAAUUGUCCUCUCCCCCUAAAUCGUUCCUGUCUUCCAUGAUGUGAGUGCUCUAGAUAGAUGUGUGGCUGAUCAGCCCAUGGAUCUACAUUCCCUUCUCUCUGACAGUUAGGUGUGGCCACGUGACUAAAUGUGGACCAGAUCUCCCUGGGAAGUGAAGCAAGUCAUAUGGGGUCUUGGCCUCACAGUAUCACUGUUCUCCAGCCUCUCGUUUCCCCAGCUGCAGAGGGGUCCAGAAACGCGAUCCAGCUUUCCUUGCUAGACACGAACAAACCACACCAAGGGGUUGCCAGAUGAAUAAGGUGGGAGGAAGGUGAGUCCAUAGAUGACUGCAUGGAAAAGCGACGUCCACCAGCCUGGAGUGGUUGCUUCUAGAAAGCCACAGGAGAGAAUCGAUGUCUACUAUAUUUAAGCCACUCUCCUUAGGGGUCUCUGUUGCAGUAGUUUAGUCUAAUUGAGUGGUUCUUAAAUGUUAGCUUGUAUCAGAAGCCCCUGAAGGACUCAGAAAAAACAGGAGGUUUGAGGUGUAGCCCAAGAAUUUGCUUUACCAACAAGUUUCCAGGUAUGCUGAUGCUGCCAGUCUGGAGACUACACUUUGAAAAAUACUGACCUAAUACAUUUAACAUGACUCUUCAUGAGGAAACAUAAAUAUCUUUUUGCUUCAAAGCCCAUUUUCCCCCAGCAUAUCAUAUCAUCUGUCCUAAAAAAAUAUGCAAAUAGGUUAGGAGGGCUUUUAGGGUACAUGAUAGGAUAGGAUGAAUCAGAAAUAAUCUUAGCCAUCGUUUUCAAAGGAAAUCUGAGGAUUUCAAUUGUUGAAAUACCUUGCUUUUUAAAUAAUAAAGGUUCAUGAACAUGGCAGUUUUGAGCUAUAGCAACCAUGUAAUUG